rnacentral:lncRNA from 1 species
AAACAGGCUCCUAACACACCCGGGACUGCUCUAUCCCUAAGGUGAGGUCUGAGCCUGAAGGUGAACAGACAUUCUCACCUGGUUCUGUAGCUGUAUGCCAGCAAGCCUGUGGUGACAUGAUUGUCCAUGUGUGUGCUUUAUGCACAUUCUAUAAAGCCUUAAUAUGUAUGAAACCCUUCAUAUUUCAAAACCUCACAUGCAUCUUAGAAGAAAAUUGCAUCUAAUAAAAGAAAUAUACUGUGCAGUGGAAAAGGGAGAAAUGUCACUAUUCUUACUUUACAUCAGCUCCUAAGUUACUCUAAAGUGUAAAAGUCAGGUUUUAACAACCUAAAAGAAAAAUAAACACAGACCAUUAAACAUCCAAAAGACUGCCAUAAAAAGAAAUAUUAAACAGUACUUAUUCUGCUUGGAAAACUCACUAAAGGAUGCUCUGUUGCAUCAAAGUUGUGUUCCUGUGUACCAGCCUUAAUGGAAGUCAAAAAAAGACCUGUCCACUAGGAAAUUUGUUUCCUAGACCCCAAAGGCUGGGAAAGUAGGAAACUGGAGACUGAAAGUUAAGGAGAGAAUGAUCUCGGCCUCUGCCAGCUGAUGAGCAUUCCCAGUGAGAGAGUAGCCAUGGAGUCUUCAGUGAACUAAGAUUAGAGAAGCUCAGAAACCAGAGCAAGCCUGGAAGGGCCCACGGGAGGGUGCGGUGAGCAGUCAGUUGCUGCCUGAUGACCCGAGGUCAAGCCCCGGGAUCCACAUAGUGGGAGGAUGACUGUCUCCCACAGGUCAUUCUCUGGUGGCCCCACACGUGCCAUCUUGCACAUGUGUAGAGGUGUACACACACAUCAGUCAAUGAAAUCAAGCCAACCCUGCGUUAGUUAACAUUGUGAAACCGUACAGGAAGGAGAGAUAACCAGAAUUAAGUCGUGGAAGUUUAUUGAAUUUAUAUUUAAUAAUAUCCAGGAUAUCGCACUGUGGUCCAUGCUUGUAGUCCUGGCAAUCUGGAGGGCUGACGCAGGAGAAUUACUGUGAGUUCAAGGCCAAUCUGGGCUAAAAAGUGAGGCUUUGUCUCAAAAACAAAAACAAAAAGAAAUCUCUAAGAGUUUGGGCUGUUUUUAUUUUUAAUAUUCCUUUUGUUUUUUUGUUUUUUUAAUCAGUCCCCAGUAUUCAGGGAACGUUAUCCAAACUGCUUUCUAGAACAUUCUCUUCCCUGUUGGGGAUUCCCUGCCUACAGCUCUUUCCACCUUAUUUCUAGACUCUUUCUCCAAGUUGCACAGCUCCUAAGCUGUCUUCUCUCACAUUUGUUUUUGUUUUGUUUUGUUUUGUUUUGCUUUGUUUUGUUUUUUUAUCCUGAGUCAUGGAAUGAUGGGCAACUCUACCUUUGCCAAGGAAAACAUCACUGAUUGUUCCUGUCUUGAGGGUGAAGCUCCAUCUCCCUUCCUUUCAAAGACCUCCGUUCUCCCACGACCUUCAGACUGAAUUCUAUUGGACAAACCUUGGGGAUUUACCUAUUGUUCUCAUCAUAAAGGGGGAUGGCCAUUGUUCCCAUGCGCAUUGAAGCUGCUUCCUGGACCUCCUUACUUUCACAGAAUCCUAUCCUAGAAUUGUUUCACCUAUGAACAACCAGAAAGAAGAGAUUUUUUUUUUUCCAUUGAGGUCUAAAUCAAUCCAUAGCCAAUACUCUUGGUUGUUUAAAUGAAGCCAUCUUCCCAGAAGUACUGGUGUAAGUUGAAGGCAGCGCUCUGCCUAUCUGAAGGCAGUUCCCUGCUAGUUUAGCUGCUUGUUCUAGAGAAAGUCCCACUUGCCAUCAACCGGUUAACCCCUGAUCGUAGCUAAAAGUACCGAUAGCAUUACUAAAGAGAAAUGCCUGUAAUACCCAACGACGUGACAUGCCUUUUGUAGAGGCUACUUUCUUAGUAUAUACUCUGGUAAGUUGUUUGAAAUACAUUAUAAUUUCAAAUGUAGUAGAAACAGAACGGAUGAUAAGUUAGUAUUUUGAAAUGAAGCACAGUAAAAGUGAAACACUGGGGAAGUUCCUGUUUAAAUUCAAAUUGUCCAAGGUCUGGAAUGUUCACCCACAUGCUGAGACCCACCCUACACCCUAGCAGAAUGAAGACAGGAACUGAGGCAAUUUCCCAUGUGAUUCAGCCAAAAAAUAACGACCCAAACCCAAACCGUUUUGAGUAAAUAACCUUGUGUUUGAAUAUUUUUUGCCUGAAUUUUUUUUUUGUCUCAGUUUGCCACUUCAUUUUGUUAGGUUAAUCUGAAUCAAAACAGAGCUAAAUGAAGAUUUUUUUUUCAAAUUGGAAUGUACUUGAUUUCUUCAUUAUUUUAUAUCAGAACUAACUUAUCAGAUGUUCUUCAGCCCUAUGGUCCUUAAAAGUUUUGCAUCUCCCCCACCCCCCCCCCACUCCCGAAGCAAUAUAAAAAAGUGCUUAUGGUGUGUAUGCAAGCUGCUGUUUUAAUUAACUUUCCUGAAUUUCAAACAUCUAUAUUUUACUCUCUUAUAUGCUUUUAACUAAGGUAUAGUAGAUGCAUUUUUUGCUUCGAUACUAAUUUAAGGUGUAAUAUUCAUUUCUUUAGAGAACAUUUUUGUUGUUGUGCAUGCCUAGUGUUUUGUACGUUGUAUAUUGCAUUCAGAAUAUUUUUUUCCUUCUCACCUAUCCACAAUGCAAUGCCGUUCCCAUGAUGCACCUCUGCUUGCUGUUUACCUGUAUGUUAAUUCGCUUGAAUCCCAUUGGCCCACUGCCAUCAUGUGCUCGCUGCCUGUUAUUAAAAGACUCAGUCGACUGCCAAAGCACUGAAGCGACCUCUCGAAGCAACUGUAGACCUGGUACUUUGACCUUUCACCUUUCGCUUUGCAUGUAGCUUUUCAGAGAACCAGCCGAGAUUUGUAUGUAAAAUACUGGUUGCAGCCAAUCAUUAUUAUUAAUUUUAAAAUGGAGGAAUUCAAUAAGGUGUUUAGUCAUCUCAUUUGCAUAUGUAAUCUGGGAAAUAAAUAUUGAAUCUAACAAAAUUUUAAUACCUUUUCCAAAGAGUGAAGCAAAUUUAAAUUAUGUGGCUCAGAAAAAAUGCUCAUUGUAAUUCUUAUUAACCUUUAAAUUCAAGAAACUGCCAUUCAGUUAAAGAAUAGAUAUUAAUAAUAACGCAAAUGCCAAAUGCUCCUUUCUCCCCUUAGUGUAGUUUAACCUGUAUUU